UUCCAGUUGAUGAGGUAUAACAACCUCAUCAGCCGGAAGGGAUUCCUUCCAGCUGAUGAGGUAUAACAACCUCAUUGGCCGGAAGGGAUCAUUUCUGGCAAUGAGGUAAGGUUCCCCUUGAUGAGAUUGAAGUACCACAUCGACAGGAAGGAAUCCCUUCCAGCCAAUGAGGUUGAUAUACCUCAUUGACAGGAA
rnacentral:miRNA from 1 species